rnacentral:rRNA from 1 species
UACGUAGGGUGCAAGCGUUGUCCGGAAUUAUUGGGCGUAAAGAGCUCGUAGGCGGUUUGUCGCGUCUGCGUGUGAAAACCCGAGGCUCAACCUCGGGCCUGCAGUGGGUACGGGCAGACUAGAGUGCGGUAGGGGAGAUUGGAAUUCCUGGUGUAGCGGUGGAAUGCGCAGAUAUCAGGAGGAACACCAAUGGCGAAGGCAGAUCUCUGGGCCGUAACUGACGCUGAGGCACGAAAGCGUGGGGAGCAAACAGG